rnacentral:rRNA from 1 species
UGGGGAAUAUUGCACAAUGGGCGCAAGCCUGAUGCAGCCAUGCCGCGUGUGUGAAGAAGGCCUUCGGGUUGUAAAGCACUUUCAGCGAGGAGGAAGGGUUCAGUGUUAAUAGCACUGUUCAUUGACGUUACUCGCAGAAGAAGCACCGGCUAACUCCGUGCCAGCAGCCGCGGUAAUACGGAGGGUGCAAGCGUUAAUCGGAAUUACUGGGCGUAAAGCGCACGCAGGCGGUUUGUUAAGUCAGAUGUGAAAUCCCCGCGCUUAACGUGGGAACUGCAUUUGAAACUGGCAAGCUAGAGUCUUGUAGAGGGGGGUAGAAUUCCAGGUGUAGCGGUGAAAUGCGUAGAGAUCUGGAGGAAUACCGGUGGCGAAGGCGGCCCCCCUGGACAAAGACUGACGCUCAGGUG